rnacentral:snRNA from 1 species
GGAUGUGAAGGCCAUCUGGCUGUGACAUCUGUCACCUGAUUGAUCACCAGGGUUGAUUCCCCUGAUCUGGCUGGGUAGGCAGGUGCCCCUUCCUCCUUCACCAUCCCAUGUGCAUUCCCCGCUUCACCCCCCCCCCCCGCAGCAGCACACAAAGUCAAAGGGGAAGACCUUUCCUGGACUAGAGGAUGACCCGUCUCCGGUCAAGGGUAUACAAGUACUUAUGGUCCCUGCUAGAAUCUCUAAACAAGCUCUCGGAUGGCGGUGACCACAGAAAGACUCAAAACUCAACCAAGCACUGAGAAGAGAUGGUGAAGUGUUCUGCACUGAGAUCGAUCUCUGUCGUAUCUU